rnacentral:lncRNA from 1 species
UACAAGGUGCUAUUAGCUUGAUAAACGUCAGUCAUUCUGUCAAAAACAAGAAAUAGAGCAGUAAUCGCUUUUACAAAUGUAGGUCAAAACUAGUGGGAUCUACUGGAACAGAGCUCCAAAAGAAAAAUAGAAUCAAAAACGAGCUAAAACAUGUAAACAACGAAGAGUGAUUGUGAUCAUGACGCUUAUCCCGAUGAUACGUGCUGGAUGAUGUAAGUGAGUGAGCGAUCAUAGAUAAGACCUUCGUUUGCCCAGUGUGAGACUCUUAUCAUUACCGCCACUACACAGUGGCUGCAGUAGCAACUGUUGUCGUCGUCGUCACCGCAAAAGCACUGCAGUAUUGGGACACUAGUACAAACCAGUGCAAUAUAGUAUCAACGACUUGAGCCUUGAAGCUAGGGAUCUCCGUCGGAUACGAUGAUAAUGCUGAUGCUGCUGUUGUUGCUGCUACUGAUAAUGCUAACGACCAUGGCAGCAAUGUGACCGGUCGGUCCUUCAGCUGGUUUCGGUCUGUUGGUGCUGUAUUUAGUGGAGCUAUUGCCGCAGCUUAUGACUUUACAGUUGUCAUCGUCGUUGUUUUCCAUUGGUCUAAGUAUUACUGUUAUUGUUGCUGGGGCUAUUGCUUGUGCGACUAUCCAUGCUCGCGUCACGCGUUCAGUGACGUGAAUCUAAUUCCUCCCGGCCCUUGUUGCCGAAUCGCCGUCAUCGUAGGAGCGUGCAGAAACCGUCAGCUAAUAGGCUACAACCAUCAGCAUCAGCGCUGCCACUACUUCUAUACGUUUUAUACCGUAUAUUUUAGGGACUGAGACGACAUUAAUAGUAGCAUAACACAAAUAGUAGCAGCGGCGGCGACAACAGCAACGAUGGUUUGAAUUGGUCGGGCUGAUUUUGAAUGAUUAUUUAGAGAAAGGGAUGCGAUCCUACUGACUGUCUUGCCCCUAAAACAGCAGGCGCAGGUAACGAAUUAGACUCCCGUUCUGAGCUGGAUGGAUAUAAGGGCUUGUCGGACAGAGAUUUGGGCAUCGAACAGCGCGAUCAAACAUCGGCAGCACAUCAGCCGAAACCUGUCGUACAUCAUGAAAUCAUCAACGUGCACGAACCCCCAAAGAUCAUCCACAAGCCCGUCUUCGUUAAGGAGGUCCAUCAUGAAUGGGAUGAAGGAUGGGACAACAAAUGGUAAAGAGAUCCGAAUGUUGGCAGUCACCGGAUUCUUGUCGAGGACGAAAACUUGGACAGCUUCAAAAGCAUGCUGAGUAUUGUAAUGUUAUAAUACUCAGUCAAUAGCACAAGCAGCCCUUUUUUUUGUGUGGUGAAAACUUCGACAGCUAAAUAAUUAUAAUUUGUGUGUAAAUGUCCUUUGAAAGUGUGUGUCGCCCAGGAGUACUCGUGUGUAGCCCUGUAAAGGUUAUAGUCCGAAAUACAUUAGUGUUACUUGUUUUAUAGAGCAAUGUCUUCGGUGUGUCAAUUGUUCUUCUGAUCGUCUCAUGUGAACAGUCCCGUGGUAGAUGUUACUGACGAUUGUACUUCAAUAAUUGAUUUGUGUGAUUGAAUGUAACCCGACAUGUUGAGGAUGACGCAUCGCAUUAUUGUUGUUAUGACAUAUCGAUUCUACGAAUGAAUGAGUCCUGGGAACUCGAGUGCUUGAAGUGCACAAAAUGCAUAUAGAAGUUAUACACGAGCAAGCUGCUCAAGUAAUUUAACAAAGACGUAAAAGAGAUAGUCUUAAAAAAAUGUUACUUUAGAUGUCGGGUUCGAUAAGCGGCAAGUGUAGUCUUCGAACGCGAAAUAUAAAGAAAUUUGGAGGCCAUGUGCAAUAUUGUGCUUUGUUUUAUCAACUGAUUCACUCAGUUUGGAUGCGUAUGGUUGUUCAAAUAUAUAGUAACCGAAGAUCCGGCUUUAUGUUCAACAAAAAGAAAACUUGUAGGUUGAGUCUAGUUCUAAUGGGUGCUCCCGAAUCUCAGAGCGAGUUUUGCCGAACCAGACUUUCUUCGUGAGAUAAUACUAAGCUUUUGUCCUUUUUUGGCAAUUACAUCCUUGUUUCAGCGGAUGCCACCUGUUUUCGAACCAUUUUUAUAUAAUCUUUGUUAGUUGUAUAAGAUUUCUGUGUUUUAAGUAUUUCGCAAGAAUGUUUGCUUCCGUUCAUUCCGAUUUGUUUCGGGGUCUACAGUUGUAUUAAAAUGUAAGACACGUUGCCGUCUAAGCCGCGCACACAAUUUGUGUAGUUUAAACUAUACAAAUGUAACUGAAUAUAUUGUCGCAUAUUUUGUGCUGUCGGGAUCAGUACUGCAACGUAUUGGUCACACGUUUACUACAGUGUGCUUAAUGUGAAGUGUGGUCUUAUGCUGUUAAGUGGACAUUAAGGAUGAAUAUUGUCCUCGUCAUUGUAUUUAUACCUCGUCUUGUCGUCAUCAAUUAUAUUGAUUGAUAUUAUGCUGUUGAAUGUAAUAAAAUAUAAAACCAUGGUAACAAUCA